GACGAACGCUGGCGGUAUGCUUAACACAUGCAAGUCGAACGAGACGGGAUGGAAGGAGCCUUCGGGUGACGGAAAUCCUAGAAAGUGGCGAACGGGUGAGUAACGCGUGGGUAACCUGCCCUAUGGAAAGGAAUAGCCUCGGGAAACUGGGAGUAAUGCCUUAUAAUAUACAGAAGUCGCAUGGCUUUUGUAUUAAACGCUCCGGUGCCAUAGGAUGGACCCGCGUCCCAUUAGCUAGUUGGUGAGAUAACAGCCCACCAAGGCGACGAUGGGUAACCGGGCUGAGAGGGCGACCGGUCACACUGGAACAGAGACACGGUCCAGACUCCUACGGGAGGCAGCAGUGGGGAAUAUUACGCAAUGGGGGCAACCCUGACGCAGCAAUACCGCGUGAGUGAAGAAGGUUUUCGGAUCGUAAAGCUCUGUUAUUGGGGAAGAAAAAAGACGGUACCCAAGAAGAAAGUCCCGGCUAACUACGUGCCAGCCGCCGCCGUAA
rnacentral:rRNA from 1 species